UGUCCUCGUUCCUUUGCAGGGUCGGGGGAACGGUUCAGCUGCUUCUGCUCUUUUCUUUCUGGUAGAGGCGUAUGGCAACGAUGUGUCUGGCCUAUAGUGGAUGCUAAGUAUUUGACAAAUGAACACACAGCAGCAGUCAGGCUGUCCUGAAAACCAUAGGGUUUGCUGAGGAAGAGGAAUAAUGUUCCAAGCUUGAUUCCAUUCUCCAUUCUGAUGAUCUACUGUCUGGCAGCUGAUUUGUUUAGUUGACCCAUUGCUCCUGAAAUACACCAAAGUGGCUCACUAGUGAAUUCCACGGUAUCUAAGAAUCCCGAUAGAUGUAAUGGACAAGCGACAGAGGCAAGAAUCCUCUUAGACAUUAUCUAGCACCUAGCUGGCAGUUGUAUUAAUUGUGACUGGUUCUUCCACUGUAGGACACCUCACACUGCCUCCUAACCCUCAUGUUCCUUACCUGCUGGAUCAUCUCUGGAUGCUGCUGCAUAAUAUGCAGAAAGCGGUCACUCUCCUGGUUCAGGGGCGUCGUCCUCU